AUCAUUUCUCGGCCUUUUGGCUAAGAUCAAGUGUAGUAUCUGUUCUUAUCAGUUUAAUAUUUUGAUAAAAUUUGGGUAAAUUUUGUCCUCAUAUACUACCCUUGAAGACCAUUG
ensembl:snRNA U2 U2 spliceosomal RNA